rnacentral:rRNA from 1 species
GACGUAGGGCGCGAGCGUUGUCCGGAUUUAUUGGGCGUAAAGAGCUCGUAGGCGGCUUGUCGCGUCGAAUGUGAAAUCUCAGGGCUCAACUCUGACAUUGCAUUCGAUACGGGCAGGCUCGAGUUCGGUAGGGGAGACUGGAAUUCCUGGUGUAGCGGUGAAAUGCGCAGAUAUCAGGAAGAACACCCGUGGCGAAAGCGGCUCUCUGGAACGGUACUGACGCUGAGACGCGAAAGCGUGGGGAGCGAACAGG